rnacentral:rRNA from 1 species
UCGAGAAUCUUCGGCAAUGGGCGAAAGCCUGACCGAGCGAUGCCGCGUGCGGGAUGAAGGCCUUCGGGUUGUAAACCGCUGUCAGUUGGGAGGAAGGCUUUGUGAAGAGCAAAGCUUGACCUAUCUUCAGAGGAAGUCCGGGCUAAGUUCGUGCCAGCAGCCGCGGUAACACGAACCGGACGAACGUUAUUCGGAAUUAUUGGGCUUAAAGGGUGCGUAGGCGGUUUGGUAGGUGGGGUGUGAAAGCCCUCGGCUCAACCGAGGAAUUGCGCCCCAAACCACCAGGCUAGAGGGAGACAGAGGUAAGCGGAACUGAUGGUGGAGCGGUGAAAUGCGUUGAUAUCAUCAGGAACACCAGUGGCGAAAGCGGCUUACUGGGUCUCUUCUGACGCUGAGGCACGAAAGCUAGGGUAGCGAACGGGAUUAGAUACCCCCGUAGUCC